GACGAACGCUGGCGGCAGGCCUAACACAUGCAAGUCGAGCGGAGCGGCGGACGGGUGCGUAAUGCCUAGGAAUCUGCCUGGUAGUGGGGGAUCACGUCCGGAACCGGGCGCUAAUACCGCAUACUAUCAGAUGAGCCUCGGUCGGAUUAGCUAGGUGGUGGGGUAAAGGCCUACCACGGCGACGAUCCGUAACUGGUCUGAGAGGAUGAUCAGUCAUAAUGGAACUGAGAAACGGUAAAGACUCCUACGGGAGGCAGCAGUGGGGAAUAUUGGACAAUGGGCGAAAGCCUGAGCCAGCCAUGCCGCGUGUGUGAAGAAGGUCUUCGGAUUGUAAAGCACUUUAAGUUGGGAGGCGUUACCAACAGAAUAAGCACCGGCUAACUUCGUGCCAGCAGCCGCGGUAAUUC
rnacentral:rRNA from 1 species